GCGGGUAUCGUAUAAUGGCUAUUAUGUGUCCUUCCCAAGGAUAAAAUACGGGUUCGAUUCCCGUUACCCGCU
rnacentral:tRNA from 2 species